rnacentral:tRNA from 1 species
GCAUUAGUGGUCUAGUGGUAUGAUAUCACCCUCCCAAGGUGGCAACCCGGGUUCGUUUCAAGGCUAAUGCA